CCUGACAGGGUUACUCUGAGUGAUUUCCGCUAAGGGGAUCUUUUGGCACCUCUAAAAAUGGUGCAGAAUAAGGGGUGGGCAAGUCUGGUGUCAGCCGCCGCGGUA
rnacentral:rRNA from 1 species